rnacentral:rRNA from 1 species
GCCAGCAGCCGCGGUAACACCGGCAGCUCUAGUGGUAGCUGUUUUAUUGGGCCUAAAGCGUUCGUAGCCGGUUUAAUAAGUCUCUGGUGAAAUCCUAUAGCUUAACUGUGGGAAUUGCUGGAGAUACUAUUAGGCUUGAGGAUCGGGAGAGGUCAGAGGUACUCCUGGGGUAGGGGGUGAAAUCCUGUAAUCCUAGGAGGACCACCUGUGGCGAAGGCGUCUGACUAGAACGAAUCUGACGGUGAGGAACGAAAGCUAGGGGCGCGAACCGGAUUAGAUACCCGGGUAGUCCUAGCCGUAAACUAUGCGGACUUGGUGUGAGGGUGGCUUUGAGCCGUCCUGGUGCCGAAGGGAAGCUGUUAAGUCCGCCGCCUGGGAAGUACGGUCGCAAGACUGAACUUAAAGGAAUUGGCGGGGGAGCACCACAACGCGUGGAGCCUGCGGUUUAAUUGGAUUCAACGCCGGAGAUCUCACCAGCGGCGACAGCAGUAUGAUGACCAGGUUGAUGACUUUGUUUGACAAGCUGAGAAGUGGUGCAUGG